UUGCUGGAUUUGACAACACAGACACUAACACUGAAAAGAGACUGAAGACUGGCAUGGCUCCUGUGCAAGGGUGACACACAAAUUGGGGGCACCUUCCAUAGUUUU
ensembl:snRNA U6 U6 spliceosomal RNA